rnacentral:lncRNA from 1 species
CUAUUCAAUGGAUGUGUGAGUCUUGAAAAGCUAAGGACCCGAGUCACAUCUGUUUCUUGCUCAGGACAUAUCCACUUCGGGAUGACAGAUGGCAUCCCUGGCCUGGGGCUCUCCUGAAGCUCCUAUAUAUAGUGUGGCUUUUGCUGAUGGCUGGGGGGACCAGGUCAUACCCCAGGAUCUUUUUCUCCUUAAAUGUGUUUCCCUAUUUUCAACGACUGUAUAUACUGGGAAAUUCAAUGUUCUUGUUCAAAUUUACAAAAAAUUAAUUUAUUCUCGUAAAUAAAACUCUUC